UACGGGGGGGGCAAGCGUUGUUCGGAAUUACUGGGCGUAAAGAGCGCGCAGGCGGUCGUUCAAGUCGAGUGUGAAAGCCCCCGGCUCAACUGGGGAGGGUCACUCGAUACUGAUCGACUUGAAGGCAGGAGAGGGAAGCGGAAUUCCGGUGUAGUGGUGAAAUGCGUAGAUAUCGGGAGGAACACCAGUGGCGAAGGCGGCUUCCUGGCCUGUUCUUGACGCUGAGGCGCGAAAGCUAGGGGAGCAAACGGG
rnacentral:rRNA from 1 species